AAUAACUUACUAAUAUACACCAUAAAUUUUUUUGAUGCACAUACAACAAUGAUCCAACACAUACCUAUAAAUAAAUUGAUACAUAGAUUACCGAACUUAGUAUCCACUGGUACACGGUAUAUGAUCAGUUAAUAUACAUCUAGUAAAAUAUUCAUCCGACGUCCCAAUACACAUGUCUAGAUAAAGUGAUAUCUAGUUUUCAUGAACUUUUAGA
rnacentral:lncRNA from 1 species